rnacentral:lncRNA from 1 species
AUGAGCUUUUAAUUCUUUGCCUCCAUAGGAUACUUUUUAACAUGGGGUGAGCGAAGCCAUGAGCAAGGCCAAGUCUGUGGUUAAAACCUUUAAUAAACAACCCAGGCCUUCUAAUGGUAUUCAGAUUUCUGGCUGGCCUUUAUCAGCAACGGCCUGCACUGCCCAUAUGCAAGUGGAGGGAAGGGAACAGUGCAGGGCAUUUGAGGAGAAAAUCAUUCAAAUCUUCUUCACUGCAGCACCUUCUCACCAUAUUUCCCCACUUUAUUCCCCCUGUGGCUGCCAGGAGGGAAUGGAUUGAUCCUGCUGAGGGGGUGGGUGGCCAGGCCUGGGGAGGAUUCAGGGAUUCAUUGCUCUGCUGUUCAAUCAGCCAUGUUCUCUGAGUAAACCAGCGCCUCUGGUGCAAUUUGUUGUACAAGUUCUGCUUCCCCGAGCAGAAAUUCUCCCCUUCCACAAUGUGAGCUGAGCAGAAAUUCUCCUUUUCCACAGUUUGAGCUGACUGAGGGAGAGGUGGUGCUGUGGUGGAGCAACAACUUCCAGGGGUGUCAGUGCUGCUGUUCCAGGGGGGAUCCAGAGCUCUUUAAAACCUCUUGGAGCUCAUGCUGGGGAGCCUGAAAUCAUCCUUGGGAUUUGUAAAAGGUUCCUUCCUGAUGUGCAGCAAUUUGGAUGCCAGGAAUUAACAGAGUCCAGUCAUGAAUCCUUGUCCCACCUGCCUACAAAGCCACAGAGGAUUUUUGGCCUCAGUUUUCACCAUCAGCACAGGCAAAGAUGGGACUGAAUGUUCUGUUAGAAAGGCAAAAAUGUCUUGUCCUGCUGCACAGCAGCACUGAAUCACCUGCUGAAAUAAAUUCCAUGACAUCAAUGGCAGCAGUGACACAUCUCUCUCCCUGUAAAAUCAAAGGAUCAUCUGCAAAUCUGUCACAAGGAGAGCUCUGCAGACUGGAAUCCUCUCAAUGCACAGGCAGCCAGGACAUCUCAGCCUCUGAGUCCUUUAAUCCCGGCUGGGCUCAGCCCCUGCCCCUCGUGCUGCAGGGCAGGCUCCCUCCAUCCAUCCUGCAUGGAAAACAUCUCUUUGGAGGGACUCCCUUCAUUUGCCUCGGCAGCUGGAGGAUGGCCACGGUGUCCUGAUGAGUAUCUAUGCUCCAAGGUUCCCCCCAAUGACAG